rnacentral:rRNA from 1 species
AAAGAUUUUAUCGCCGAAGGAUGAGCCCGCGUAGGAUUAGCUUGUUGGUGGGUAAUGGCCCACCAAGGCGACGAUCCUUAGCUGGUCUGAGAGGAUGAUCAGCCACACUGGGACUGAGACACGGCCCAGACUCCUACGGGAGGCAGCAGUGGGAAUAUUGGACAAUGGCGAAAGCCUGAUCCAGCAAUGCCGCGUGAGUGAUGAAGGCCUUAGGGUUGUAAAGCUCUUUUACCCGGGAUGAUAAUGACAGUACCGGGAGAAUAAGCUCCGGCUAACUCCGUG